rnacentral:rRNA from 1 species
AGCGAACGCUGGCAGCAGGCCUAACACAUGCAAGUCGAACGGGCUCUUCGGAGCUAGUGGCGGACGGGUGAGUAACACGUGGGAACGUGCCUUUAGGGUCGGAAUAAGCCAGGGAAACUGGGUCUAAUACCGAAUGUCAACUUCGGGGGAAAGAUUUAUCGCCUUUAGAGCGGCCCGCGUCUGAUUAGCUUGUUGGGGAGGUAGGGGCUCACCAAGGCGACGAUCAGUAGCUGGUCUGAGAGGAUGACCAGCCACAUUGGGACUGAGACACGGCCAAAACUCCUACGGGAGGCAGCAGUGGGGAAUCUUGCGCAAUGGGCGAAAGCCUGACGCAGCCAUGCCGCGUGGAUGAUGAAGGUCUUAGGAUUGUAAAAUCCUUUCACCGGUGAAGAUAAUGACUGUAGCCGGAGAAGAAGCCCCGGCUAACUUCGUGCCAGCCGCCGCAGUAAAAC